rnacentral:rRNA from 1 species
CACGGGUGCGGAACGCGUAUGGAACCUGCCCCUGUCAGAGGAAUAGCCCAUGGAAACGUGGAUUAAUGCCUCAUGGUAUUGUGAAGUUGCAUGAUUUUACAAUUAAAGAUUUAUCGGACAGGGAUGGCCAUGCGUAUCAUUAGCUAGUUGGGGAGGUAACGGCUCACCAAGGCGACGACGAUUAGGGGCCCUGAGAGGGGGAUCCCCCACACUGGUACUGAGACACGGACCAGACUCCUACGGGAGGCAGCAGUGAGGAAUAUUGGACAAUGGUCGGAAGACUGAUCCAGCCAUGCCGCGUGCAGGAAGACGGCCCUACGGGUUGUAAACUGCUUUUCUACAGGAAGAAAGGUUCCCUUGCGAGGGAGAUUGACGGUACUGUAGGAAUAAGGACCGGCUAACUCCGUGCCAGCAGCCGCGGUAAUACGGAGGGUCCGAGCGUUAUCCGGAAUCAUUGGGUUUAAAGGGUCCGUAGGUGGGGUUCUAAGUCAGAGGUGAAAGGUUGCAGCUCAACUGUAGAAUUGCCUUUGAUACUGGAGCUCUUGAGUUAUGUUGCUGUGGCCGGAACAUGUGGUGUAGCGGUGAAAUGCAUAGAUAUCACAUAGAACACCGAUUGCGAAGGCAGGUCACAAAGCAUACACUGACACUGAGGGACGAAAGCGUGGGGAGCGAACGGGAUUAGAUACCCCGGUAGUCCACGCCGUAAACGAUGGAUACUAGCUGUUGGGUUUUCGGACUCGGCGGCCAAGCGAAAGUGAUAAGUAUCCCACCUGGGGAGUACGUUCGCAAGAAUGAAACUCAAAGGAAUUGACGGGGGCCCGCACAAGCGGUGGAGCAUGUGGUUUAAUUCGAUGAUACGCGAGGAACCUUACCAGGGCUUAAAUGGGAGAUGACCGGGUCAGAGACGACCCUUUCUUCGGACAUCUUUCAAGGUGCUGCAUGGUUGUCGUCAGCUCGUGCCGUGAGGUGUCAGGUUAAGUCCUAUAA